rnacentral:rRNA from 1 species
UACGGGGGGUGCAAGCGUUGUUCGGAAUUACUGGGCGUAAAGGGCUCGUAGGCGGCCAACUAAGUCGGAUGUGAAAUCCCCAGGCUUAACCUGGGAACUGCAUCCGAUACUGGAUGGCUUGAAUCCGGGAGAGGGAUGCAGAAUUCCAGGUGUAGCGGUGAAAUGCGUAGAUAUCUGGAGGAAUACCGGUGGCGAAGGCGGCAUCCUGGACCGGCAUUGACGCUGAUGAGCGAAAGCUAGGGGAGCAAACGGG